AAUAUAAGUUUGACUUUAAUUUAGCUUUUCCCCUUUUUUGAUUGUUAUUUUAGCAGGGCGCAGCAGACGCCAAAGUCCAGAGGUCAUUUUCAUUUAGAAGCAUGAAUUUGCGUCCAUGUUUUAAUGUCAUUGGAUAUGUCCUCGAGCUGAAAGCUUUUUAAUGACCAUAAUUUAGCUGCAGGAGCUACUGUCGCCGAUGCUGCUGCUGCUGCUGCUGGUGGAUCCUGGGUCAAGGAUGCACACAUGAUGGCUAUGUAUCCGGCGUAUAUAGUCGGGGCAAAGACGGGAUAACCUUGCGCAUAAUUAAGCUGCGAGCACGCAACGACCGAAGAGACAGUCGCAGCAGCAGUAGAGACAUCCGCAUGGUUAAUCAUACGCCACGUUGGCUCGCAAGACUUUGAAAAAUGUAUUCAGCAGAGGAGGCAGAAAGCCUUUCAGCACUAACAAGCAGGCGCAACGCGAACGGCAAAUAUUGUGACAAUAGCGAAAACAAAAAGGGGGAGGCAGCAUUUUGGCCCACAGGUACACGGCGCCCGCUUGUGUAAAUAUGAAAUUUUAUAAUAACAAAGCACGUCGCAGGUGCAAUUAGUGUGCAAAUAAGCGUUUAUUUGCCUUGCCACACAGACAGACAGGUGGGAAGGACCCGACAGACAAUUCAAUUCAGUUCAAGAAGCAGCAUUGUCACCGGGGAGCCAUAUUCAAGAAAAUUGCCUAAGAUUAUGUCAAGCGAAAUUUGCUGGCCCAUAAAUCAAGCAACGCUUACAACCGUACAACAAGCAUGCAUUCGUUGCAUGCAGCAUCCAUGGCAGCCAACGAUGCAACUGCAGCAGAGGCAAAAACAGCAGCUCAGUUUAGUAAGAGGCGGCUAAACAACAUUACUCAAGGCACCGAGGACACGAGGACAUGCAACAUCCAACAGACACCACACGAGGCAGGACAAACAAGGAAACUGAACCCUGACCAGUUGGGGACUUGCUAUUUGCUCACAUGCAAAGUGCACUGGCACCCACACACCCGUACACCCCUUUCCACACACACCACACACACAAUACAUACUUAUACACACACGGUGCUCAGGACCAGACUCAAUUGACUGCGAGAUGGCAACAACGUUUUUAUUCUCCAUGUACCUCUUUCGCCAGCACUCUUCUCUUACACAGUAAAAAUAAAUAUUAAUUUUAUUACUUAAA